rnacentral:rRNA from 1 species
GACGAACGCUGGCGGCGUGCUUAACACAUGCAAGUCGAACGGAAAGGCCCUUCGGGGUACUCGAGUGGCGAACGGGUGAGUAACACGUGGGUGAUCUGCCCUGCACUUUGGGAUAAGCCUGGGAAACUGGGUCUAAUACCGAAUAGGACCACGCACUUCAUGGUGUGUGGUGGAAAGCUUUUGCGGUGUGGGAUGGGCCCGCGGCCUAUCAGCUUGUUGGUGGGGUAAUGGCCUACCAAGGCGACGACGGGUAGCCGGCCUGAGAGGGUGACCGGCCACACUGGGACUGAGAUACGGCCCAGACUCCUACGGGAGGCAGCGGUGGGGAAUAUUGCACAAUGGGCGCAAGCCUGAUGCAGCGACGCCGCGUGAGGGAGGACGGCCUUCGGGUUGUAAACCUCUUUCACCAGGGACGAAGCGUAAGUGACGGGACCUGGAGAAGAAGCACCGGCCAACUACGU